rnacentral:rRNA from 1 species
UGGGGAAUAUUGCACAAUGGGCGCAAGCCUGAUGCAGCCAUGCCGCGUGUAUGAAGAAGGCCUUCGGGUUGUAAAGUACUUUCAGCGGGGAGGAAGGCGAUAAGGUUAAUAACCUUGUCGAUUGACGUUACGCGCAGAAGAAGCACCGGCUAACUCCGUGCCAGCAGCCGCGGUAAUACGGAGGGUGCAAGCGUUAAUCGGAAUUACUGGGCGUAAAGCGCACGCAGGCGGUCUGUCAAGUCGGAUGUGAAAUCCCCGGGCUCAACCUGGGAACUGCAUUCGAAACUGGCAGGCUAGAGUCUUGUAGAGGGGGGUAGAAUUCCAGGUGUAGCGGUGAAAUGCGUAGAGAUCUGGAGGAAUACCGGUGGCGAAGGCGGCCCCCUGGACAAAGACUGACGCUCAGGUGCGAAAGCGUGGGGAGCAAACA